rnacentral:rRNA from 1 species
CAGCAGCCGCGGUAAGACGAACCGUGCGAACGUUAUUCGGAAUCACUGGGCUUAAAGCGCGUGUAGGCGGGCCGCCACGUCGGCUGCUGAAAUCCCCCGGCUCAACCGGGGAACGGGCACCGAUACGAGCGGCCUGGAGGGGGGUAGGGGGGACUGGAACUUCCGGUGGAGCGGUGAAAUGCGUUGAGAUCGGAAGGAACGCCCGUGGCGAAAGCGAGUCCCUGGACCCUUUCUGACGCUGAGACGCGAAAGCCAGGGGAGCGAACGGGAUUAGAUACCCCUGUAGUCCCUGUCUCUUAUA